GAAAAACAGUUGGAGGGUUUUUCACGUCUCCACUGUGUGCAUGAGGACGUGGAGUCUUAGGGCAGGGUGGCUGGCUCACGGUCACCCGGCAAGCCCAUGACAGAAACGUGAAUGGGUCCCAGGUCCCAGCACGGACAUCUCCUGUCUGCACCAGGUGGACUGUAGUCACGUGGAUACUCACUUGACCACUGAGCUCCCAAGGGUGGCACGCAGUGUCUUCUGGGAAGCCUGAGAGGCAAGCACUGAUUCCAGACAGGAAAGCAUAAACACCACAGAUCUUGGGAACUGUCUGUAAAGGUGAAGGAUUUCAAGUAAGGAGAGGCAGCUAGGAGUACAGAUGGGAGGCCUCCCCGGGGAAUCAGAAGACCCGGAACCCCAGUUCUGCUGCAUGCCCUUUGGCAGAGGCAAGUUGUUUAUCGUCUGUCUUCCUCCUCGGACCAGAGGGGCUGAGCCAAAUCCUGGCUCCAUCAGUUCUAAAUGAGUAUCUUUGGAACUUUCCUGAACACCCCCAUGCCUCGGUGGGUUUAUCCAGAAGAGGAGCUCAUACGGUCCUGCCUCGCAGGCUUGUUGCGAAGAUAACGGUGAAAUCCUCAACGAAGGAGCAUGGCAAGGGCGGAGCGCUUUUACUACAAGCUGAAUAUGGGGGCCGUGAUCAUCGCCCCCAUCACUCGUUUAUCCCAUCCUUAGCGCUGAGGCUGUGUCCUCGUUCACGGCUGUAUCUUUAGCACUUAGCAGGCGCGGUAAGACUCA
rnacentral:lncRNA from 1 species